CAAGUAAACCGGGUGACCGCUCGUCUAAAGACGGGAGGAAAGUCCGAGCUCCACCGGGCAGGAUGCUGGGUAAUGCCCAGGAGGGGUGACCCUACGGAAAGUGCCACAGAAACAUACCGCCCCGCUUCAAGUGGGGUAAGGGUGAAAUGGUGAGGUAAGAGCUCACCAGCGGCUGGGUGACCAGUCGGCUGGGUAAACCCCAUCCGGAGCAAGACCAAACAGAGGGACAUAAGGACGCCCGGCCUGUCCCCGGGUAGGUCGCUUGACC
rnacentral:RNase_P_RNA from 1 species